GUACGUGAAUCUGCCCCGGGAAAAGCUAUGGGACAAAGUUAGACAAACCAACUACUAUAGCUUCCAGGAGACUUUCGCUCUAGGAGAGCUCUAUUAGCCAACGUGGUCAAACAAACAAUCUGCUCUACGAGAACUGUUACCAAAAUGAUUAAGUUCUUUCUUCUAGAAAUUCGGCGAUAGAUUUACAUACUUUCCAGGCGUGAAUCUCAGGCAGCUUUAUUUAGUAGUCUCAAGUCUUAACGGAACCAAAUGGAUUUUGGGAGUCUCAAGAAUCACAAGAUUCAUAAUCGAAGAACUGGUAUCGAGAAAAACCUGAAGACGGUUGGUUUAGGAUGUGAUUCUUGAUCCCAGUGGACGUCAAAAUUUCUACAAUUCAAUUCAAUUUCCAACGGGCCUAAAGCACUUCCGACGAUAGGGUUUUGAACUUGGCCCAUCGCAGCUUUAAGUGCUUCAUCUUACUGCAAGAUCACAACCCAAUUGGUCUCAUGGAUACCAUAUUUGACAAAUACUAUUAUGUAUCGCCUUGGAGAGUGUGGUACUAUUCCAGGAAUGAAAUGAUAACAGUGUACCUGGUGAUGACGAAUUUGUUGUUCAAGAAACAACUGAUUUGACAAAACAGAAUAAGAAAAUUUGACUGAGAAGUAAAGUGUGGCAGGGAUUCUGCAUUGAACUAAGUUAACAGAACAGCAGAAAAGGCCUGAUACAUGCGAUACUUGAGAGAAAAGCUUGCAAGUGUAAAUGUGAAUUCCAGAAUUUUAAAUCACAGAAAUCUCCCUCAGAACAUAAUUACUGAAGAGUAUCAUAAAAUGGUGCAUGGCCUGGUAGUUUAAACUGCAGAGAGAAUGAUAGUUUCUUCAGAACCAGAGGAGUAUAAAAGUGGAUGUUUUGCAGUUACACAAGAAGAUCUGAUUUGUUGGUUGACUCCCAGUCAGGAUGCAAUUAGUACUCAUUGUUUUGUCAUAUUGAUGUGAAGGAUUUGGCAAAUCUUUAUAUUCUUAAAGGAUAAUUCAAUUUGGCUGAAAUAAUAUUUUACACAAGAAAGGUUUUGAGUGCAGGAACUCAAUUGUAAAUGCAUAGGUGAUGAGCGUGUCCUGUAAUCUCCUGAAUGGUUGGAUGGAUCCCAAUUGGAUUGAAAGUAUUAUGAUAAGAACCCACCAUUGAGUUCACGAGGGAUCUGAGUAGCCUAAGUAUGGUGCUUUUUCCUUAAACGAGAGGCAUAAAGAAAUGACAUCAGUGUGUGCUUGUAUGACUGCAUUGACCAAAAUUCAAAGGAUAUAAUUUUACCUCCAAAGUUGACCUUUCUUCAUCAGAUUACAAUUGUUUUAGAAAGGAGAAGCUAUUCACUGGUCCCGGAGUGGAUUUGGAUAUAGUCAAUUUCCUCAUCCAUGAUCCAUUUCACCUUGAAGAAGAGUGUUUGGCUGGAGAAAAGAAAAUCUGCUGUUUUGCUGAGAGUCUGUGUUUUUGUGCCAUUAAAGAUCGCUUGUAUUUCCAUGCCCAUGUUCCACAAUUUGGUAUCUAGAGGAGUAUCUAGAGGAAAACGAUGUCACGACCUGUGGCAUUAGUGUUUAUAUUAUUGAUACUGAUAAUGACAUCUCAAUUUGAAUGGAAACAACAGCUUGUGAAUGAGUCAGAGCCAAUUACAGCACUUUCUAAACAUCAACAGAUUUUAAAUAAGCAGGAACUUAUCAAGGAGCAGAUAAUUUUGUCUCAAGAAAAGAAGAUCCAUGAACUAAGUGAGCUUGUCAACAUCUUGCAACGACAGUUGACAGAUUGCAAAGUGGUCAAUAUUCAGAACAGAAAUGAAAGUAUUGUUGACUUGGAUGAGAGGAACCGACUAAGGAAGCAAGAUAUCCCAGAAGACUAAAGAGUGGCUCCAUAUGCAUGCAGAAAUUUUUCUGGCUGUUUCUUCAAGAAUUUGACUGCUAUAUGUGGGACUUCUUGGGUCAGUAUUUUGAUAACUGUAUAGUUGCUGGUACUUCAGGAAAUGAGCUUCAGAGAUGAUGCAGAUCCCCAAUGAACAUGUUUAACUUUCAAUGCCUUGUCUGUACCAUCACAAAGAAAAGGCCCAUUGCAACUACCAUAUGUAAUCUUUUAAUGUUUGUUGUGAUGGCACGAAUGGAUUUGUAGAGGCUAAGCUGCACUGGGCAGAGAUGUGGAUGCUUUCUGACAUAAUGUGGAAGUGAUGGAAGGAAAAACUGGAACUUUGAAAGCAUACAUUUUUUGUGGCCGGUGAAUGCCAAAUGUUCGACUCUUAAGUAUCUGAAGAAGUUUUUUGGUUUAA